UCAACGGCCCUUUUCAGGGCCACCAAAUUAAGAUCACUUAGAAUCCU
rfam:Rhodnius prolixus Rhodnius_prolixus-3.0.3-144.15, whole genome shotgun sequence.